UGGAGGAGUAACAUCUCCCCGUCCCCGGCUCUCGUUAUGUAGCCGCUAACUGCUGUUUAUUGUCCCUGAAGAAGACCUAAACCUGGUCGAAACGUUGGAUGAGUAACAUCUCCCCGUCCCGGGCUCUCGUUAUGUAGCCGCUAACUGCUGUUUAUUGUCCCUGAAGAAGACCUAAACCUGGUCGAAACGUUGGAUGUACAGUAAGAUGAUUCUCAUGUUUUGUCGGACUCAAGAAAAAUAAACGGCAAAGAACAACCCUUUCUCCGUUUUGUUUGCUAAUAGCUAAGUCAUGCUGGAGCUAAAUGCUAAUGCUAAGCGGGCCUACAAGCUAACUGAGGCUACCGCUAGCGAGUCCAUAGACAUUGAGGCGAACUACGCACAACAUGAGGCGAACGCGAACGCGGCACGAGAUAUGAUGAUGCAAUAACAUCGAAGCACGGGGGCUGGAGAGGAGAGAGACGACGCACACGCGAUGACCUGCCAAC
ensembl:lncRNA